rnacentral:tRNA from 1 species
GCCGCUUUGGUGGAAUGGUAGACACGGUGCAUUCAAAAUGCGCUGUUCGGAAAGGACGUCUGGGUUCAAGUCCCAGGAGCGGCACCA